AUGAAAAGAAAUUGUUAUUUUGAUUUAUCAUCUCAAAAAUCAAUGAAUCAAGUGUCGAAAGUAAACAAACAAUUUGUUACCAUUCCUCAUGAACUUCACAAAUUUGACAAUAGAGAACUUCAGGCUAGAGUGAUAAUAUGGUUGGCAAAUCAAGGAAUGGAAGGAAGGAAUGGUAGGAAAAAAUUUCCUCCAAAACUAUCACUUUCAUUGCAACCUCAAGUGUUAUUAAUGCAUGCUUCACGUGGCUUUUCAAUAAAGCGAUCUCUUCAAAAUUUCCUUCAGAAGAGAAAGAGAAGGAUUCAGAGUCACGCCUCUGUUGUAACGUGUCAUGAUAAUAAUAGUACUACAAAUUAG